GACUCUCUUAAGGUAGCC
rnacentral:ncRNA from 3 species